AAAUUAAAAUAAAAUAAAAAUGGUAAGAAUAGACAUAUCUACUAAGUAUGUGUAUAUGUGUUUAUGUCUGUGUGUAUACAUAUGUGUGUACACACACACACACACACACACACAUAUAUACAGAAAUAAAUAUAUACCAUGCUGUAUACCAUUGCCAGACGUCUGGUAGAAGUUGAGAAAAUUUCCAAGGCUGAGUUUAGGCUUAACAAAAAGAACACUAUGAUUAAUAGUGGUAUCUGAUUUGGAUCCUCAAGGGGAAAGUGGUGGCCCAAACGUCUGACAUUAGCCAUCUUGAGAUCAUGUACUUACGGUUUCAUAAAACUUACAUAUUAAAUUAUAUGCGUCAUUUCAACUAAUGCAGGUAUGAUGGUAACGGAAUAGGUGUAACUCUUAAAAACCUGGGGGUUGAGGAUCACGAUGGAUCAUCGAAAAACAUAAAAGUUUCAGAUUCCACAUGUAAGUGAAAUCACAUGGCAUUUGUCUUGCUCUGUCUGACUUAUUUCACUUGGUUUAAUACCUUCCAGGUCCAUCCAUGUUGUCGCAAAUGUGAUAUCUGGCAGCCAUGUCAGAAAAAUACCAAAAAUAGAGGAAGAACAAGAAGAUUUACUUGAUUAAAAAAGUGGCUGAAAGACAAGUUCAGAGAGGGAUUCAGGAACAUGAGAGAAUUUGAAAAAUAUGAUCCAGAAAAAAUAGGCAAGAUUGCAGCAGGCCCUCGGAGCUGGACCACCUGACUCCAGUCUGCCCACCUCUUCCUGGACCGGCACACAGUGCUAUGUGGAUGACCCUUCUAAACUGCAAAUGUCAUCAUGUCACUUUCCCGUGUACCACCUGUCGUUCCCCCGACUUAAGAUUAAAGUAAAAUCCUUCUGGUUUUGCAUGCCAGGUCUUGCAUUUUCUGGAUAUGGCCUUUCUCUCUUGCCUCAUCUGCUAUCACCCCCCUCUACACACACACACACACACACACACACACAUCCUCCUCCGUCUCAGCCGCUCCACAGUGUGUGUGAAUUGCGUGAUUUCUUACCUCCACUUCUUGUGUGUUGAUCUUGAAAUACUCUCCUCAUCCCCUUUGUUUCUUUUUUCAUUUUAUUUUAUUUUAUUUUAUUUUAUUUUAUUUUAUUUUAUUUUUAUUUUUAUUUUUGAGAGAGAGAGAGACAGACAAAGCAUGAGCCGGGGAGGGGCAGAGAGAGAGGAAGACACAGGAUCCAAAGUAGGCUCCAGGCUCAGAGCUGUCAGCACAGAGCCCAAUGCAGGGCUCGAACUCACAGACCACGAGAUCAUGAUCUGAGCCGAAGUCAGACACUUAAGUGACUGAGCCACUCAGGUGCUCCCCCUUUAUUUCUAAUUAGUUAAUAUUCAUCCUUUAAAUUCAGUCGAAGGGUCACCUCCUCCAGGAAGCCUUCUUGGAGCCUCCCAUCUGAUUUAGAUGCCCUCCUCUGUGUUCUUAUAACUGUCUCAUAAAACCUACUGUAUGUUCCAUUAUAAUUGUGUCUGCAUUGUAAACUCCUUAAAGACUGAAUGCAUUUUUGGCCUGGUGUGUUUACACUGGAUUUACAAAUGUUUCCAACUUAUUUAGCAUAUUCAUCUAUCACGCGGGGUGAUUAUGCUCCUAAUUUUACUUACUUUCCGUGGUUCCCAGGUAUGGGGUCUGGAGGCAUGACCAGGGCCCAUGUUCCAUUCCUCAGAGCUGGGAGUUGUGUGUCCUGCUCUCCUCCCCCAAAUUGUCUCACCAUGUCAUCUCCUCCCUUCCCUGACAAGUUCCAAUGUCAAGCAGCUUGUAACCAGGAAAUGAGAUGUCAGCAUCCCGUGCUUCUGGACCUCCACAGCUUGACGUGUUGUUUUCUUGGCCGCCUUCCCAUGCAACUGCCCCCUCCCUGCUGGGCAGGUGAAAUGAGUGACAGGGAUAGACUUUCUUCGUGACCAUCAAACUUUUCCUGAUCUGGGUCCACUGUCAUAUUCACUGGGGCCAGAGUUGAGGAAAGAGGAGGGUGUCGAUGCCUGUGCUGUUGACUGGCCCCAAGAGACAGUGGUUCUCCGAGCUUAGAAUUUGAAAGGCUUGGUGCCUUUUUUCCCUCUCGGUCAAUUCCAGAAAUAACAGUAGUAGCUGUGCAUUUGCUGUCCACCAGGAACAAUUCUGAUAUUUCCACUUAAUCUUUAUGACAGCGUCGUCUGACAAAAAAUGAGUCGUUCUUCUCAACUGACAUACAAAGGAACUGAGGCAAGGAGAGGGUAAAGAAUCUGCCCAAAGUCAUCAGCUAGUAAAUGCAGCCCAGACUCAAACCAGCCUGGUGCUACAGCUCAUUUCUGUAACCUCUGGGCUGCACUGCCUCACUUUGCCACUAGCCUGUCACAGUUAGAUUUGCUGCUCCCAGUAGCGAUUGUCCAGCUUUGUGCCUGGUCAGCGGGAGCCCCCCCCGUGCCUGGGUGACUCGAGGAGGCCGUAUGGUGUUCUCCUUUGCCUCCCCCCCUCUUCAGUGUUACCUGCUAAAUACGGCUUUCGAGGUGUGCCGUCUCUUGGCUGGCCCACUGUGUCUUCAAAAAAUUAUCUUUUAUUUAUUUACAGUUUUCAUGCCAUUUACUUUCAUUGGUUUUUUACUAACUACUUUUCUUUUUUAAGUUUAUUUAUUUAUUCUGAGAGGGAGAGACAGAGAGCAGAGGAGGGACAGAGAGAGAAAGGGAGAGACAGAAUCCCAAGUAGGCUCCACACUAAUAGUCCAUCCAGAGCCUGAUGCAGAGCUCAAAUUCAUGAACCCGUGAAACCAUGACUCGAGCCAAGGUUAAGAAUCAGACGGCUUCCCCACCGACUGAGCCAUCCAGGUGCCCCAACCAGCCACUUUUUUUAAGUUGAAGAAGUAAUCUGUACACAUGGUAAGAUAUUCAGACUAUAAAAGGUCUCCACAGAAAGCAAACCUACCUCCAGACUCCCGGUCUCCCAGUCUGUCCCCAGGACCCUCCCUCAUCCAACACCCAGGCCAAACGCCAUCACUUUCCUUAUGAAAUAGUGUGUGUAGCAAGGUUAUAAUUGAACUCACAUUACAACUUACGUGUGCUGCUAAAACGUUUGCUCUUUUUGUCUAUAAUGAAUCCAGCCUUCCAGCCCCGCCCCCAACUCCUCUCCAUCACCCCUGCUCACAGGCUGAUGGCAAAAAUGAACAGUUUCCAGUCUUGUUAAAAAUUUUUUUUUUUUAUUUUAGAGAGAGAAAGAGAGUAUGAGUGGGGGGAGGCAGGCAGAGGGAGAGAGAGACAAAAUCUCAAGCAGGCUGCAUGCUCAGUGCUAGAGCCUGGCAUGAGGCUCAGUCCCACAAUCCUGGGAUCAUGACCUGAGCUGAAAUCAAGAGUCAGAAGCUUAACCGACUGAGCCACCCAGGCGCUCCCAGGCUUGUUUAAACCUUAGUCUACCUGGUAGGUUGUCUCUUUUAGGGAGGUAUUCAGGCUGACUUGGAUGAAAGGGUCAGUCUCCCAGAGAUUCUGUCCUCCGGGCCUGCUCCUUUCAACAACAAAGGAGAGGGAGGGAAGGAGUGCAGCUUAUGUGACCUGCAGCCAAUAUUCUCUCGCCCGCUUAGCGCUUAGCGUGUGUCUGCUGUCCUCUGGCCUCUGGGCAGUGUUCUUCAGCCAUCUGGUCAGGGAUGCCCUGCAGGUCUCUGGUGCAGAGACGAGUGUGCACAGUCAGGGUGUGUUGUUGGUGCCGUGCUCCUGGCGGUUGUCCCUGGCUGAUGUGAGCUCAACCCAGCGUUUGAUGGCUGUCACCCUGCAGGAUUUGGCUGACAUGCCCAUUCAACCCUGCCCAGCUAGUGUUUCUCCACAGAGCCGUUUUGCCCAUGGCAUGGCAGCCGCCUCUGGGGAAGCUUCCUCACCGGGGUUCUUGGUUAGUUCUGGGGCCUGGCAACACACAAGACCUAGCACGCGUGGCUCAGGAAAGCUAGGGCUUGGGUUAAGCCUCCCACCUGACCACGACGCGUAAUGAAGUUUACCCUGCCCCAUGAGGGUGCACCCUCCCAGAACCCAGACAGGGCAGUUAUGGAGGGGAUCCGCCUCUCCCUCUGACCCCACUGUUAUCUGUACCCCCACCAGACGUCACGUGGUAAAAGACAAACACAACGUGGUCCGACUGUCACUGAUAGAGCCGCCAUCUUCUUUACUCUGUGAGGGGACCCAGUGUGCGUAGGCCCUCUGGGCGAGGAUGCUGAUUAUACCCAAGGGACAGAUCGGGGGGGGGGGGGGGGGGGGGUUGAAUGAUUCUGUUGUUAGGAACAUCCUUCUGUAAUGUAGAAGCUGGAAUGAUUUUGGCUACCUGUGACAUCUAACUCAAUGUGGCUUAAGCAAUAAAGACAUUUAGUAAUCUUGCAAGAUAAAAACUCUCUGGGAGUUAAGGGUUCCAGGGUUGUUUUGGCCACGCCAUUAUACCACCGGGGGCCCCAGACCCUUGUGCUCUGCCAUCUGCAAGCUGACUUGUCACCUUUGGUCUCAUCAUUUCAGGGUCACAACUGCUCUGGGCAUCACGUCAUCAGACAGGCUCGUUCAAAGGCUCAGGGUGGAGCACAUCUCGUCUCUGUCCUUUUUGUCAGCGUCAGCUGACUGACAGUGGGUUCCUGAUACCAUAUCCCUUUUCAACUUAAGACAUGAUGAUAAUUUUUAUGUUAUAUUUCUUAAGUUUAUUUUUAUUUAUUUUGAGGGAGGAGAGGAGCAGAGAGAGGGAGACAGAAUCCCAACCAGGCUCCGCACAGCCAACGCAGAGUUGGACACGGGGCUUGAACUCUCGAAUCGUGAGCCAAUCAUGACCUGAGCCAAUAUCAAGACCUGGUCCGCUCAACAGACUGAGCCUCUUUAUGUUACAUUUUUAAAAAUAGAUUUUGUGACUAGAGAGGAUUCGGCUCCACUUUAAUUGGAAUUGAAGUCAAAUUGGCAAAUUUGUUUCAAAUUGGUUUUCUCUUACUCUUGACUACUUUCAAGUAAGAUUUUACUCAAGGUGGAUGUUCCACUUUUGUUUUUUUGUUUCUGUAUUGGUGACUUUCUCCUCUGAAGGACGUUGCAAAGCCAGCCAUGUUUACAGUACCUAGUAAACGGAAUCUGGUUUUGGACAGGGAUGUGAGAGAAAUAUACUUCAGCUGGCACUUCUGUGAAAGGGACUGAGAGCUCUGAAAUCAUCUGCAGUUUGAUUUGUGUGUUAUCAAUAACUCCGAAGAUUGUGAAGCUGCAUCCUGAGCCUAUAUUUUCUUUUCUGUCUGUUGCAAGUUAUCUAGAGAAUGUGGUAGAAGAAUACCCACAGAAGUUCAAAUCACACAUCCUGGAAAUGGGGCCAUUUUAAAAUGCUAUCACCUUGUAAGUUUGAGGACUUGUCGAAUGAUUUUCAGGAAGUUAGAAAUA